CUCCCUCAGUGCGGGAGGGAACGUCGCCCUCAGGCCCCUCCUCCGCUUUCUUCUGCGCUUCCCCAUCUAAGGAAGAACUCGAUGGGGAAGCCGGUGCGGGCGCAGCGUGGACCCCGCGCGGGCGCUGAGCGGCGACAAAGGACCAAAGUGGGAGACCAGAUGCUCUGCUCACUAUGAAGGUUUCUGGUAAGAAGAACAUCCCACAACUCAUCUUCCUGUUCUGCCAUUUGACACUGAAGUAUGCCUCUCUCCUUGGUAACACUUUCCACUGCUGUGAGAAACAACCACCACACAUUUCCUGCCGCCCCAUGGCCACUCAGUUUCCCUAAGGAGUCCUUUAUUUUGUGGAGGGCCAACUCUUAUUACCUCUGGUAUCCACACACUUCCCCAAUUCUGGGGAGGUGCCCAUUCCUCUAGGAGCAGUCAUCCAGCAUCACUCUCGACCUGGCUACAGAGGAAGAGACCCCCACCCAACCUCUCUGGUCCACGUAAACCCUCUCUUGCCCUUGAAAUUACCUAUUUAUAUAGAAAUGGACCACCUCUCUUCCCCCCUUGGAAACACCUAUUGUAGAGAGAUGCACUAAAUCCAGGUGAGAGAUUCUGGAAAUAUUGCAGUUUUACCCACACUCCCCAGCACCCAUAGAGGGGCCCGAGGGUAUUUCCCUAUCAUCUAGAGGGAAGCCCGCUGAAACAUCGCACCCAUGAGGACAGAUUUCAGGUUAACUGGACCCUGCCUAUUCUGUGCCAAAUGUAGCUCUGGGAGUAAGGGGGUUGUCCUCCCAGAACAAAUUCUCUAUGAAUCUGGUGACAGCAGAGGAGGACAAGGGGAAGAGUAGGAUGGGGGGAAGGGUUUUAUUGCUCACAGCGUGCACAGGAUCACUAGCCAGGUCAGCCUUGGCUCUGUUUGCUCUGGCCACAGCACCCGCUCUCUCUCCUUGUCCACCCCUCUGACAGGAACUCUAUGGGCAGGGCCAUGUGACUGACUGGCACCAGGACAAUUAGGUACAAGGACUGGAGGGGAGGUCAGAAUGGCCAUUUUCUCUCCAACCCUUGCCCCAGAUCUACCAGUGGCCCUGAAACAUCCAUUGGUAUGUAAAUGGACUAAGACUGUGCAGGCGAUUCGGGAAAAUUUGCCAUUUACCCCACAUCCGGUAGGCUUGUGUGUUUCUUGCUCUGGGGUCUUUGCAAGUUGGGCUGUUAUCAGCAAGUCAAGCCUGUUCAAUCUGGAGAGUGAUUGACAUGUGGAGGCCUCUGGGGAAGACUGAUGGGCUGUGUUCCUUUAGGACAGCAGCACCCUAGGGUCUUUGAUUUGGGGCCUGAAUUUAGGCACGUCUCUUGCUUAGGGUGUGUCUGAGGUCUCACUGCAGUUAUGCUCCUCAGGUGUUGUGGGGGACCCGGGGAUGCACAGAAAUAAGGCAGUGCAUGGGAGAGGGCAUUUGUAUUGGCAUCUGCAGGUACACCCUGCUGCCCAGAGGCCACUCUGCUUCAGCUGGAGCCUGGGGAUGGGGUGGGAUUUGUCCACUCCCUACCAUCCCUGUCAUGGUGUCUGGGUGAAGUGGAAAGAGUAGACAGUGUGGAAGCAGGGUAAGGGACUGCUGUUUGACCCACUUUGUUGUGGGAACUGUGAGACCAGCAUGGUCCUGCCAACCCAGCAUUGUCAGGACUCCGCCCUUUUACAAUCAUGCUCUUUAGUAGCCUGCCUGAAAGUCUUUCUUUGCCUCUGGGGAGUUCUCAGAACAUAAUCUCACUCCAUUCAGUGCUCUGUGGUUCCCACAAAUCCUGGCUUAGUUCCCAUGUUGUGUAGAUUCAAGCAGAUGCCGUGUGACCCAGGCUUCAGGAGUUGGCAAGGAAUCUGCCCUGUGCCAAGCAGCUGUUCACUGAAGUUCCCUUUCUUCCCUCUGUCUUUCUUGCCCUCCCCACUGCCUUGCAUGGUUACUGCCAUUUGCUGCUACUCUCGCUGUAAUGAAUUCCUUCCUUACCUACACUCCUCUGACCUGUUCAAGAAUUCUUUCUUGAACACAGGCAAGAACCCUCCCUGGUUCAGGUUGAGGUUUCACCCAGUGCGUAGGGAGACAUCUCCCCAGGUGCAGCUGCCCAGAAACACAACCAUUUCGGUAACCACUCUCAAAUUACCAAAAAUCCUUUCAGAAGGUUUUUGAAGAAAGUAUCACAUUUCAUUGACUACCUCUUCUAUAACAAUUCAUCAUGAAUAGUUACUUCCAAGUCAAUAAAUAUUAUAUAAUUAUUCUUAUUUGAAUGGGGGUAGUGUUUAUCUGUGUGGCUCUACUAUUAUUUUACUAAUAUUUUUAUAAAAUAGGAUUGCCUUCUAAAUUUGCCUUUAUAAACAAUGCUCCUUUGAACAUCCUGUUUGCAUACUUUGUGUAUAUUUGUCUGCUUUUGCUUUUUUAUUUCUGAAAUAAUCCCUGGGUGCCUUAUACUUUAAAAAUGUUUAAACAUAACAGAUAAACUAACUCUUCUUUGACUAUUUCUCAUAGCCUCAUUUCUCCCCUAACUUUACCACUGUUGGCAGUUUCACUGAGGAGCCCUAUAUGUACAGCUGCAUACAUACACAGUUAUAUGUGUGUAUAAUGUAUUAUUCUGUAGAAACGUAAUGCUUUCAAUAUUAUGUAUUACACUUCAAGUAUGGUAAAAUGGAGGUGCUAUAAUAACUGACACAGGAGUAUAAUAAAAAUUACAUGGGAUGAAUUCAUGUAUGUAACUGGUGAUUUGUUCAGUAAAUGUUCACCACUAUUAUUUUCAUCUAUUUUAUUUACAUAAUGGUGUUCACCCUAUAACAGACAAUUCCUACUGGAGAAAACUUAAAACCAAAAUAAAGUGGUUAAAAUGUAUUGAGGAUUUCCUACAGAACUCAAUCUUUAUGCUGAAUAAUAACAUCCAUACCAUAGUGAAUGUGUAUAUGAAUGUGUUUGGAGUAGUUAAGACCACAACUGUCACAGAAUAAUGAGAAGAGGUUUACUGCAAAUGAUAAUAUUAUAGAAUACAUUAUCUGACUGAUAAGAAGAACAUACUAGUUAGCCAAAAUAUCUGAACUCUGAUUGAAUUCUCAUCUAAAUUACCCUUUGAUUA